rnacentral:rRNA from 1 species
UACGGAGGGUGCAAGCGUUGUUCGGAAUUACUGGGCGUAAAGCGCGUGUAGGCGGCUUGGCAAGUCGAAUGUGAAAGCCCCGGGCUUAACCCGGGAACUGCAUCCGAAACUGCCUCGCUAGAGUCUCGGAGAGGAAGGCAGAAUUCCCAGUGUAGGGGUGAAAUCCGUAGAUACUGGGAGGAAUACCGGCAGCGAAGGCGGCCUUCUGGACGAUGACUGACGCUGAGACGCGAAAGCGUGGGGAGCAAACAGG